UACGUAGGGUCCAAGCGUUAUCCGGAAUCACUGGGCGUAAAGCGUGCGUAGGUGGAUUGUUAAGUGCGAUGCGAAAUCCUGUGGCUCAACCAUAUGGACUGUAUCGCAUACUGGCUAUCUAGAGGACAUGAGAGGCAAGUGGAAUUACUGGUGUAGCAGUGAAAUGCGUAGAGAUGUGGAGGAAUACCGAUGGCGAAGGCAGCCCCCUGGGCCAAUACUGACGCUCAUGCACGAAAGCAUGGGGAGCGAACAGG
rnacentral:rRNA from 1 species